rnacentral:rRNA from 2 species
AGGUGCGAUCAUACCAUCGCUAAUGCACUGAAUCAUGUUAGAACUCUGUAGUUAAGCGUGCUUGGGCGAAAGUAGUCCGAGGAUGGGUGACCUCGUGGGAAGUCCUCGUGUUGUACCUC